ACUCAUGGCAUUUCCCCUGUGUUUUGCUCAGUAAAACGUGCCUCCUUCCCUGAGUCUUGCCACAUUGAAUUUUUUCUUUGUUUUCCCUUCUCUCAGCAGCUUUUGGUGUGGCAGCAAAAUCAGUAAUAUGUGACUGUGGCACCCAUGGCUCCCAUUUUCCUGGUUGAUCUCCAACCACUUUCCUACCCAUGAUCAGGCACCGCAGUAAGAGCUGCCUGGUCUCAGAAUCACCUCCCCAUGGUGGUACUAAAGACUGCAAUGAAACCGGCCGUUACUCUUCCUUUGGAUAAAUUAUGGAGGUCAAGUGCCUGCAGCCUCUCGCUCUGCACAGAACUGGCAGCGCAGGCUCCAAAUCACUCCGGGGAGUCCCCAAGCUUUGUCUGGUUUCUGU